GCACUCUGUUCUGAAGGAGUGCAAGCAUUCUGUUUGAGGGAGUAGAAACACUCGGCUUGGAGGAGUAAAAGUACUUGGUUUGGAUGAGUAGAAGCACUCGAUCUGGGGCCGUGGCUUCAGAGCCAGGGGCCAGCUGAUGGUCUCGGUGAGCGACACGGGGUGCGAGAGCCAUUCGAGAGACAACCUUUGCUACCCGAAGGCCCAGACCAACUGGAACUGCUUCCUGGUGGCCGCUCCUCACGCUCCGGCCUCAUGGAAGCUGGUGGCACGUGACACGGCAGCAACAGCCAGGCUCAGAUGAGGAAAAUACAAGUGCCACGGAUUAACACGCAUGAUGCUUUGCGGUCUCAAGCCUUUGGACAUUUCUUAGCGACCUCGUCUCGGACAUGUCAGCUACCUCCGUGGAAUGCAAGUGACAGCGCGUCUUGCCUAAAACCUCAAUCGCUUAUGCAAGAUACAUUUUUCACGUAAAUCAUUUGUCCCCAAAAU